rnacentral:lncRNA from 1 species
AUGAAUACACCAGUUAUACCCUGAUGAUCUCAAGAUACAAUAACACAGAAUGCCAUUCAACUUCAGAAAAUUUUCAUGUCAAAUGCUAAAACUCAACAGGGCCUCACAUUCCACUGGCUCUAAUUUCAUUUCAUCACACUUUAGUACCACCCCAAUCUGUUGAAAAGCCUUAUACAUUUAAACUUGAAUAGCAGAUAAGGGACAUGUGCCUAUCUCAGUGACUUUUUCUGAUACAUUCUACCUUAGUAUUCGAUUGAAAUAUGGAGAAGUUCACAAUCACAGAUGCCAAGAGUUGCAGUUAAAGUAGUCGCCACCACAAGAAGUUCCCCAAGAUCAUUAUGAGCAUUCUCAAAAGACCGAUGAAUUUAUACAGAAGCUCCUAAAACUGCUACCAGAUAACAUGUUAAUCAACAGUUUUGUCCCAUUAUUUAUAUCCAUUAUCCAGAAACUACCUUGAGAACACCAGCAGCAGACAGAAUCUGCUGCCCAUGGCAAAUGGAGGCAACUGGCUUCUUGGCCUCCAUGAAGUCCUUAACUAGAGCAAUCACUUUCCCAUCCAAGGCCAAAUAUUCUGGGGCACGACCUCCAGGGAUGACAAGGGCAUCAUAACUUGAGGCAUCCAAACCCUCAAAGUCAGCUGUAAGAGUAAAAUCAUGGCCAGGUUUCUCGCUGUAAGUCUGGUCACCUUCAAAAUCAUGAAUUGCAGUUGGGCAAGUGUCACCACUCUUCUUCUUGGGGCAGACUGCAUCAACAUGGCACCCUAGAGCUUGAAGAGACUGAAAAGGUACGGUUACCUCAUAAUCUUCCAUGUAGUCCUAUAAUAGCAAGCCAUGGGCAAAAGGUUUUAUCAAACUCCGCUUAAACUGCAUGGCCUUGUGACGUGUUAAGUAGAAACAAGCUCGUAAAAUCAUGGCCAGGUUUCUCGCUGUAAGUCUGGUCACCUUCAUGCACAAGCGCAACUACUCAUGAUGUCUUUUGCUACCUUUCAGAUAAAGCAUAAAUUCAACAAUAUGAGCAAUGUAACUUGUUUUUCCUAUUUAGUCAUUUGUAUUUUUUUUUUUGGUAAAAUUUUCUAUUUAGUCAUUCUUUGAUUGAAAAGUGAAAAUGAUUAGUUGAAUGGCAGAAAAAUAAAAUUAGUUAAAUGAACCAUCCAUUAAGUAUAAGGAUAAGUCCAUGACAGUUUUCACCUGGAAUUGCUUAAGAGUAACCAGCCACUUGGAAGGACUAUUCCUGUGACAACUAAUCCUGACAAUCAUAGACUCACCUAGAACGGAGACAUGUAAUGUUGUUUAAAACAGAAUGGCAGUAAUUGACCAACAAAUUAGAUGGAACCAAACGUAGAUUUAACUGAGUGUCUCAACUGCUAGUUUAAUAUAAACAACUAAUUUAAUGCAAGCUAGCACCAAUUCUUUUCAGGACAUAUUUCUCUUGAAAAAUAUUUUCACCUAUCAUAAUUACCAUACUUCAAUUCCAUAACUUAAAUACUGCUGACUCAUCUGUACCACCAGUUCAGACAAGGACACAAGUAAAUUCAACUAAUUAUCCCAAUUAUGUAAUUAACCUAUAUAAGCUCGAUAAAAUGUGUUACAAUCCAAAAUGACAUCACUUUGGCCAUCCAUAACUCAGUCUCUUGAGAAACUAGAAGCUUUAGUUGACAGCCAAACAAAAUGCACUAGUAAAGGAAAAUAAAAAAUUGAGUAAUUUAUUUGAAAACACUUUCAGACAAUACUCUUGGAGCACAUUCCAAUAUUGAUAUAGAGAGGUUAGGAAGUAUCCAGCACCAUAGCAGAGAACCAGCUCCAAAAAGCUCAAGUAGAAAAAGAUGGAAUACCAGUUAGUUGAGAAGAAGUAGAAAGAGGAACACAAGACAUACAUGCCAUUACCGCCCAAAUGUUCAGUAAAUUCUCAACACAUACCCCACAUAAAAAUAAGAUCCGUUUUUCCGACCCAGUAAUGCUGCCACCCAAAGCCUUCACAAAAGACUGGAUGAACUCAGGAUGUCCAGUGUAUGCAACCCCAGUCACAAGAUUGCCAUCAGUAAUACAGAGCGACAUGUUCUCAGGUUCAACCCAGUGAGCACCUGCAGCAAUCAGUACAGGUCCCACAGGAGCGAAUGCUGUGCACUUGCGACCUUUAACAACAUUUGCAGCAGCCAAUAUCAAUUGGC